rnacentral:rRNA from 1 species
UUAGAGUUUGAUCAUGGCUCAGGACGAACGCUGGCGGCGUGCUUAACACAUGCAAGUCGAACGGAAAGGCCCUGCUUUUGUGGGGUGCUCGAGUGGCGAACGGGUGAGUAACACGUGAGUAACCUGCCCUUGACUUUGGGAUAACUUCAGGAAACUGGGGCUAAUACCGGAUAGGAGCUCCUGCUGCAUGGUGGGGGUUGGAAAGUUUCGGCGGUUGGGGAUGGACUCGCGGCUUAUCAGCUUGUUGGUGGGGUAGUGGCUUACCAAGGCUUUGACGGGUAGCCGGCCUGAGAGGGUGACCGGCCACAUUGGGACUGAGAUACGGCCCAGACUCCUACGGGAGGCAGCAGUGGGGAAUAUUGCACAAUGGGCGGAAGCCUGAUGCAGCAACGCCGCGUGCGGGAUGACGGCCUUCGGGUUGUAAACCGCUUUCGCCUGUGACGAAGCGUGAGUGACGGUAAUGGGUAAAGAAGCACCGGCUAACUACGUGCCAGCAGCCGCGGUGAUACGUAGGGUGCGAGCGUUGUCCGGAUUUAUUGGGCGUAAAGGGCUCGUAGGUGGUUGAUCGCGUCGGAAGUGUAAUCUUGGGGCUUAACCCUGAGCGUGCUUUCGAUACGGGUUGACUUGAGGAAGGUAGGGGAGAAUGGAAUUCCUGGUGGAGCGGUGGAAUGCGCAGAUAUCAGGAGGAACACCAGUGGCGAAGGCGGUUCUCUGGGCCUUUCCUGACGCUGAGGAGCGAAAGCGUGGGGAGCGAACAGGCUUAGAUACCCUGGUAGUCCACGCUGUAAACGGUGGGUACUAGGUGUGGGGUCCAUUCCACGGGUUCCGUGCCGUAGCUAACGCUUUAAGUACCCCGCCUGGGGAGUACGGCCGCAAGGCUAAAACUCAAAGGAAUUGACGGGGCCCCGCACAAGCGGCGGAGCAUGCGGAUUAAUUCGAUGCAACGCGUAGAACCUUACCUGGGUUUGACAUGGAUCGGGAGCGCUCAGAGAUGGGUGUGCCUCUUUUGGGGUCGGUUCACAGGUGGUGCAUGGCUGUCGUCAGCUCGUGUCGUGAGAUGUUGGGUUAAGUCCUGCAACGAGCGCAACCCUUGUUCACUGUUGCCAGCACGUUAUGGUGGGGACUCAGUGGAGACCGCCGGGGUCAACUCGGAGGAAGGUGGGGAUGACGUCAAGUCAUCAUGCCCCUUAUGUCCAGGGCUUCACGCAUGCUACAAUGGCUGGUACAGAGAGUGGCGAGCCUGUGAGGGUGAGCGAAUCUCGGAAAGCCGGUCUCAGUUCGGAUUGGGGUCUGCAACUCGAUCUCAUGAAGUCGGAGUCGCUAGUAAUCGCAGAUCAGCAACGCUGCGGUGAAUACGUUCCCGGGGCUUGUACACACCGCCCGU